GCUGUUAUAGCUCAGUUUGGUAGAGCGCAUCCUUGGUAAGGAUGAGGUCCCGAGUUCAAAUCUCGGUAACAGCUC
rnacentral:tRNA from 1 species